CUGUCAUUAAUACCGCAAACGUUUAGCUAUUAUAUUGUUAGAGCUAUGUAGGCUCCUGUGGAAGGUCUUCACCUUAACAAAUUGUAUGAGUAUGUAGUCUGAUAUGGCCAAGUGCCAGAUUUAUUGAGAUAUUUGAAAACUUUCAACAACGGAUCUCUUGGCUCUCGCAUCGAUGAAGAACGCAGCGAAAUGCGAUAAGUAAUGUGAAUUGCAGAAUUCAGUGAAUCAUCGAAUCUUUGAACGCACAUAGCGCCCUUUGGUAUUCCUUAGGGCAUACCUGUUCGAGCGUCACUGCUAACUUCCUCACAAAUAUUGUGGUCUUGGUUGCUGUAGAUUGUGGGUAUAUUUAGUACAUAUGCUCACGAGAUACUCUGCUAAAAUUCAUCAGGUGGAUACCAGGUAUAAAUAACAGACUUUAUAAAUGUCUACAGGAUAUGAAUUAGUUGUUUAGUAUAUCUGAUACUGCUAUCAU
rnacentral:rRNA from 1 species